rnacentral:rRNA from 1 species
UACGAAGGGGGCUAGCGUUGUUCGGAAUUACUGGGCGUAAAGCGCGCGCAGGCGGUUCUUCAAGUCAGAGGUGAAAGCCCAGAGCUCAACUCUGGAAUGGCCUUUGAGACUAGAGAACUAGGGUACGGGAGAGGUGAGUGGAAUUCCGAGUGUAGAGGUGAAAUUCGUAGAGAUCGGCAGGAACACCCAGGGAGAAAUCAGCCGCCUGGGCAAGUGCUGACGCUGAGGUGCGAAAGCGUGGGGAGCGAACCGG